rnacentral:rRNA from 1 species
CCUACGGGUGGGCAGCAGUGGGGAAUAUUGGGCAAUGGAGGCAACUCUUACCCAGCAAUGCCGCGUGAAUGAAGAAGGUCUUCGGAUUGUAAAGUUCUUUAAUUGGGGACGAAAAAAAUGACGGUACCCAAGGAAUAAGCCCCGGCUAACUACGUGCCAGCAGCCGCGGUAAUACGUAGGGGGCAAGCGUUGUUCGGAAUGACUGGGCGUAAAGGGUGUGUAGGCGGUGUAGCAAGUUAGAAGUGAAAUACCUAGAGCUUAACUCAGGUGCUGCUUCUAAAACUGCUAUACUUGAGUGCAGUAGAGGAAAGUGGAAUUCCGUGUGUAGCGGUGAAAUGCGUAGAUAUACGGAGGAACACCAGUGGCGAAGGCGGCCUGCUGGACAUUAACUGACGCUGAGGCGCGAAAGCGUGGGGAGCAAACAGGAUUAGAUACCCGAGUAGUC